AGAACGAACGCUGGCGGCAUGCCUAACACAUGCAAGUCGAACGCUUGCCGAGGCUUCGGUUUCGGCAGGAGUGGCGCACGGGUGAGUAGCGCGUGGGAACCUGCCUUGGAGUGGGGGACAACCGAGGGAAACUUCGGCUAAUACCGCAUACGCCGGUUGUCUUGUAAGAGAUGGCCGGGAAAGAUUUAUCGCUCCGAGAGGGGCCCGCGUCGGAUUAGGUAGUUGGCGGGGUAACGGCCCACCAAGCCUGUGAUCCGUAGCUGGUCUGAGAGGAUGAUCAGCCACACUGGGACUGAGACACGGCCCAGACUCCUACGGGAGGCAGCAGUGGGGAAUAUUGGACAAUGGGCGCAAGCCUGAUCCAGCAAUGCCGCGUGAGUGAUGAAGGCCUUCGGGUUGUAAAGCUCUUUCGCCCGCGACGAUGAUGACGGUAGCGGGAGAGAAGCCCGGCUAACUUCGCGCCAGCAGCCGCGGU
rnacentral:rRNA from 1 species